AUGGGCGCCGCGCCGGGCCAGCCCCCCUCCCCGCCGCCGCCGGAGCGGACCGCGUCGCCGGAGCGGGGCGCCCUCCGCGACUGGAAGGCGGAGAUGAUGUCGGCGCUGGGGGAGUCGGUCUCCUUCGGCCGGUUCCUCUCCGAGCCGCUCGAGUGGGGCCGGUGGUCGGCGUUCGAGCACAACCGGUACCUCGAGGAGGCCGCGGGGCAGUCGCGCCCCGGAUCCGUCGCGCAGAAGAAGGCCUUCUUCGAGGAGCACUAA
rnacentral:rRNA from 1 species